rnacentral:miRNA from 8 species
CCAUGGAUGUUUGAGCAUGUGCU